rnacentral:rRNA from 1 species
AAGUCGUCUUCGGAUGAUGAGUAUACUGGCGCACGGGUGAGUAAUGUGUAAGUAACCUACCCAUGGGACGGGGAUAACCUCGAGAAAUUGGGGCUAAUACCGGAUAAUGCAGCGGCAUCGCAUGAUGAUGUUGUUAAAGUUGCUUCGGUAACACCUAUGGAUGGGCUUGCAUUCGAUUAGCUUGUUGGUGAGGUAAAAGCUCACCAAGGCUGUGAUCGAUAGCUGGUCUGAGAGGAUGAUCAGUCACACUGGAACUGAGACACGGUCCAGACUCCUACGGGAGGCAGCAGUGAGGAAUAUUGGGCAAUGGGCGAAAGCCUGACCCAGCAACGCCGCGUGAAGGAUGAAAGUCGUAAGAUUGUAAACUUCUUUUUUGAGGGACGAACACCCAGGUUUCGUAAGGGGCCUGGAUUGACUGUACCUCCAGAAUAAGCCCCGGCUAACUACGUGCCAGCAGCCGCGGUAAUACGUAGGGGGCAAGCGUUGUCCGGAUUUACUGGAUAUAAAGGGCGCGCAGGCGGGUUUGUAAGUCAGAGGUGAAAUCCUACAGCUCAACUGUAGAACUGCCUUUGAUACUGCAAGCCUUGAGUUCGGAAGAGAGAGAUGGAAUUCCAGGUGUAGUGGUGAAAUGCGUAAAUAUCAGGAAGAACACCGGUGGCGAAGGCGACUUACUGGCGCGGNGCUGACGCUGAGGUGCG